rnacentral:rRNA from 1 species
CAAUAGCGUAUAUUAAAGUUGUUGCAGUUAAAAAGCUCGUAGUUGGAUUUCUGGCCGAGUGUCCCUAGGCCAGCAUGACGUUUGGUCCUAGGCGCUCUGCCAUCCUUCUGUCAACCUUCGCCUUCUUCAUUGGGGGCGCUGGGGCUCAGAUAUUUUACCUUGAGAAAAUUAGAGUGUUUCAGGCAGGCUAGGCCGGAAUACAUUAGCAUGGAAUAAUGGAAUAGGACUACGGUCUCUUUGUUGGUUUGAGGGACUGCAGUAAUGAUUAAUAGGGAUAGUUGGGGGCAUUAGUAUUUAAUUGUCAGAGGUGGAAUUCUCGGAUUUGUUAAAGACUAACUUAUGCGAAAGCAUUUGCCAAGGAUGUUUUCAUUAAUCAAGAACGAAAGUUAGGGGAUCAAAGAUGAUUAGAUACCGU